rnacentral:snRNA from 1 species
GUACUCGCUUCAGUGGUACACAUACUAAAAUUGGAACGAUACAGAGAAGAUUAGCACGAGCCCUGCGCGAGGAUGACACGCAAAAUAGUGAAGCGUUCCAUAUUUUU